AGUUCGGAUCGCAGGCUGCAACCCGCCUGCGUGAAGUUGGAAUCGCUAGUAAUCGCGGAUCAGCAUGCCGCGGUGAAUACGUUCCCGGGCCUUGUACACACCGCCCGUCACACCAUGAGAGUCGGGAACACCCGAAGUCCGUAGCCUAACUGAAAGGGGGGCGCGGCCGAAGGUGGGUUCGAUAAUUGGGGUGAAGUCGUAACAAGGUACC
rnacentral:rRNA from 1 species